AUACGGAGGAUCCGAGCGUUAUCCGGAUUUAUUGGGUUUAAAGGGUGCGCAGGCGGCCAUUUAAGUCAGCGGUUAAAUCGUGGGGCUCAACCCCAUUCUGCCGUUGAUACUGGGUGGCUUGAUUGCGGUCGAGGUUGGCGGAAUUCGCUGUGUAGCGGUGAAAUGCAUAGAUAUGACGAAGAACACCGAUUGCGUAGGCAGCUGACCAGACCGCAAAUGACGCUCAUGCACGAAAGUGCGGGGAUCGAACAGGAUUAGAUACCCUGGUAGUCCGCACAGUAAACGAUGAAUACUUGUUUUCGGCGAUAUAAUGUCGGAGGCAAAGCGAAAGCGAUAAGUAUUCCACCUGGGGAGUACGCCGGCAACGGUGAAACUAAAAUGAAUUGACGGGG
rnacentral:rRNA from 1 species